GCAUGGCUGUCGUCAGCUCGUGUUGUGAAAUGUUGGGUUAAGUCCCGCAACGAGCGCAACCCUUAUCCUUUGUUGCCAGCACGUAAUGGUGGGAACUCAAAGGAGACUGCCGGUGAUAAACCGGAGGAAGGUGGGGAUGACGUCAAGUCAUCAUGGCCCUUACGAGUAGGGCUACACACGUGCUACAAUGGCAGAUACAAAGAGAAGCGACCUCGCGAGAGCAAGCGGAACUCAUAAAGUCUGUCGUAGUCCGGAUUGGAGUCUGCAACUCGACUCCAUGAAGUCGGAAUCGCUAGUAAUCGUAGAUCAGAAUGCUACGGUGAAUACGUUCCCGGGCCUUGUACACACCGCCCGUCACACCAUGGGAGUGGGUUGCAAAAGAAGUAGGUAGCUUAACCUUCGGGAGGGCGCUUACCACUUUGUGAUUCAUGACUGGGGUGAAGUCGUAACAAGGUAACCGUAGGGGAACCUGCGGUUGGAU
rnacentral:rRNA from 1 species